rnacentral:rRNA from 1 species
GACGAACGCUGGCGGCGUGCUUAACACAUGCAAGUCGAACGAUGAAGCUGGAGCUUGCUCCGGUGGAUUAGUGGCGAACGGGUGAGUAACACGUGAGCAAUCUGCCCUUGACUCUGGGAUAACUGCAGGAAACUGUAGCUAAUACCGGAUAUGAGGCUCGAAGGCAUCUUCGGGUCUGGAAAGAAUUUCGGUCAAGGAUGAGCUCGCGGCCUAUCAGCUUGUUGGUGAGGUAAUGGCUCACCAAGGCGACGACGGGUAGCCGGCCUGAGAGGGUGACCGGCCACACUGGGACUGAGACACGGCCCAGACUCCUACGGGAGGCAGCAGUGGGGAAUAUUGCACAAUGGGCGAAAAGCCUGAUGCAGCAACGCCGCGUGAGGGAUGAAGGCCUUCGGGUUGUAAACCUCUUUUAGUAGGGAAGAAGCGCAAGUGACGGUACCUACAGAAAAAGCACCGGCUAACUACGUGCCAGCCGCCGCGGUAA